AGAGUUUGAUCCUGGCUCAGGAUGAACGCUAGCUACAGGCUUAACACAUGCAAGUCGAGGGGAAACGAUAGAGAAAGCUUGCUUUUUCUAGGCGUCGACCGGCGCACGGGUGAGUAACGCGUAUCCAACCUGCCCACCACUUGGGAAUAACCUUGCGAAAGUAAGACUAAUACCCAAUGAUAUCUCAAGAAGACAUCUGAAUGAGAUUAAAGAUUUAUCGGUGAUGGAUGGGGAUGCGUCUGAUUAGCUUGUUGGCGGGGUAACGGCCCACCAAGGCGACGAUCAGUAGGGGUUCUGAGAGGAAGGUCCCCCACAUUGGAACUGAGACACGGUCCAAACUCCUACGGGAGGCAGCAGUGAGGAAUAUUGGUCAAUGGACGAGAGUCUGAACCAGCCAAGUAGCGUGCAGGAUGACGGCCCUAUGGGUUGUAAACUGCUUUUAUAAGGGAAUAAAGUGAGCCUCGUGAGGCUUUUUGCAUGUACCUUAUGAAUAAGGACCGGCUAAUUCCGUGCCAGCAGCCGCGGUAAUACGGAAGGUCCGGGCGUUAUCCGGAUUUAUUGGGUUUAAAGGGAGCGUAGGCCGGAGAUUAAGCGUGUUGUGAAAUGUAGAUGCUCAACAUCUGCACUGCAGCGCGAACUGGUUUCCUUGAGUACGCACAAAGUGGGCGGAAUUCGUGGUGUAGCGGUGAAAUGCUUAGAUAUCACGAAGAACUCCGAUUGCGAAGGCAGCUCACUGGAGCGCAACUGACGCUGAAGCUCGAAAGUGCGGGUAUCGAACAGGAUUAGAUACCCUGGUAGUCCGCACGGUAAACGAUGGAUGCCCGCUGUUGGUCUGAAUAGGUCAGCGGCCAAGCGAAAGCAUUAAGCAUCCCACCUGGGGAGUACGCCGGCAACGGUGAAACUCAAAGGAAUUGACGGGGGCCCG
rnacentral:rRNA from 1 species